rnacentral:rRNA from 1 species
CCCCGCGGCGGUCCCUGCUAGCCGGACACCGCUGGCAACCCGGCGCCAAGACGUGCGCGCAAGUGCGGGCGCCCGCGGGCGAGCAGCGUGACGCAGCGACGGCCCGCCCGGGCUUCCGGGGCAUCAUCCGGUCGAUCCUGCCGGAAU